UAGCUCAUAAGAGAGUUCAUGGUGACCAUCUCCAGGUCCAGCACAUACUCCCGUGGUCCUGUCACUGGCCUGGCAAGGACCAGCAUGGCGCUGACAUUGUUGAUUUGCUGCAGAACAUAGAGACUGUGUUAGCCUUGCCCAAGCCCUCUGGUUCUCCCCUGACCCUACCCACCUCGAUCUUCCCUCCAUCAUGACUACCUGAAGACUCAAGUUUUGGAAAUGAUUGGCCUUUAGUGACCCAGGCUGACCCACCUCCCCCUUUCAAAGUAUCCAAGUCUCUGUUUUUCUCUGUCUGAUUUUUUUGGGGGGAUGCGGGGGUUUGAGACAUGGUUUCUCGGUAGCUUUGGAGCCUGUCCUGGAGCUAGCUCUUGUAGAUCAGGCUGGUCUCAAACUUACAGAGAUCCACCUGCCUCUGCCUCCUGAGUGCUGGGAUUAAAGGCGUGUACCACCACUG